rnacentral:rRNA from 1 species
AGUGAACGCUGGCGGUAGGCCUAACACAUGCAAGUCGAACGGCAGCACAGUAAGUUCUUGCUCUUACGGUUGUCGAGUGGCGGACGUGUGAGGAAUCCAUCGGAAUCUACUUUUUCGUGUGUGAUAACGUAGUUAAACUUACUCUAAUACCUCAUACUUCCUACUGUUGUAAUCAUUUGUUCUUCGUACCUUUCGCGUUUUUAUUAGCCGAUGUCGGAUUAGCUAGUUGGCGGGGUAAAGGCCCACCAAGGCGACGAUCCGUAGCUGGUCUGAGAGGAUGAGCAGCAACACUGGAAGUGAGACACGGUCCAGACUACUACGGGAGGCAGCAGUGGGGAAUAUUGGACAAUGGGCGAAAGCAUGAUACAGCAAAACCGCGUGCGUGAAGAAGGCCUUCGGGUUGUAAAGACCUUUUGUUGGGAAAGAAAAGCAGCAGGUUAAUACCCCGCUGUUCUGACGGUAACAAAAGAAUAAGCACCGGCUAACUUCGUG